UAGCAUAAUAAAUUGUUCUUUAAUUGAGAACUGGAAUGAAAGGUUAGACAGUUUACAAGUUUGUUUAUUUUAAUAAAUGAAUUUUUAUUAUAAGUAAAAAUACUUAUAUAAAAUAAAGGGACGAUAAGACCCUAGAAGCUUUAGUUUGAAAAAUUUAAGAGUGAUUUUAUUAAUAAUCUGAGGUUUGAAUAACUUUGAUUGGGGAAAUAAAAAUUUUUAAAAUAAUUUUUGUAAAAAUUAAUUAAUUUUUGAAUGAUCUUUUAAAUAAAAAAGAAAUGAAAAAGUUACUCUAGGGAUAACAGCGUAAUAAUUUUGGAUAGGCCUUAUAUAUAGAAUUGAUUAUGACCUCGAUGUUGAAUUAAAAUAUCUUUAUAAAGUAGAAAUUAUAAGAGAAGGUUUGUUCAACUUUUAAUUUUU
rnacentral:rRNA from 1 species